rnacentral:rRNA from 1 species
AAAUAAAUUAUUAUUGGGUUUAUUUUUUAAUUGGUUUUAAUAAAAAUAAUUUUAAUUUUAUUUAUUUUUAGUAUAUAUUAUAGAAAAAAUUUUAUAUAAUUAUAGUUUAAUAGUAUUGUAAAAGAAGUAUGAAAUAAGGAUUAUUUUAGAAUAAAAGUAAAAUUAAUUUUUUGUACCUUGUGUAUCAGGGUUUAUUAAAUAAAUAUUAUGUAUUUUAAUUUUCCCGAAUUCAAUAGAGUUAAUAAAUAAUUUUUUUUAUUGUAAAAAAAAUAUUUAUAAUUAUUUAUUAGUAAUGAAAAGUUAUUCGUUUUUGAAGAUAUCUGGUUUAUUUAGAAAUAAGUUUAAUUUAGUUAUUUAAAUUUUAUUUUAUUUUUUGUUAAAAUAAAGUAAAUUUAAUUAAUAAAAGUUAAAGGGAUAAGCUUUUAACUUAAAUUUUAAAAUUUAAUUGUGAAUUAAAAGAAAGUAGGUUUAGAAAUAUUCAUCAAUUUUAGUUUGUUAUGAUUAAUUUUUAUUUAAUUAAUAUUUUGAUUUAAAUUUAGAAUUUUAUAAAUAAAAAAUAUUUAAUAAUGGAAUUUUGUAUAUAAUGAUAAAAUUAGUAUAUUAAAUUUAUUUAUAUAAAAGUUUUUAAUAGAUUAUUUAAAGGAAUUCAGCAAAUAUUAUAUUCGCCUGUUUAACAAAAACAUGUCUUUUAGAGUUAGAAUUUAAAGUCUAGCCUGCCCACUGAAAAUUUAAAUGGCCGCAGUAAUUUGACUGUGCAAAGGUAGCAUAAUCAUUAGUUUUUUAAUUAGAAGCUAGAAUGAAUGGUUGGACGAGAUAUAAUCUGUCUUUGGAUAAAAAAUAGAAUUUAAUUUUUAAGUUAAAAAGCUUAAAUGGUAAUAAAAGACGAGAAGACCCUAUAGAUUUUUAUAUUAUUAUUUUUAUUAUAGAUUAGGAUUAUUUUAUUUAUUAUAUUUAAUUAUAUUUUAUUGGGGUAAUAAGGAGAUUAAAUUAAUUCUCUUACAUAUUUUACAAUAAUGUUUGAUUUAUUUGAUCCUUUAUUAUAGAUUAAAAGAUUAAGUUACCUUAGGGAUAACAGCGUAAUUUUUUUGAAGAGUUCAUAUCGAUAAAAAAGUUUGCGACCUCGAUGUUGGAUUAAAAAUUAUUCUAGGAGUAGAAGUUUAGAGUUUUGGUCUGUUCGACCAUUAAAUUUUUACAUGAUCUGAGUUCAGACCGGUGUAAGCCAGGUCGGUUUCUAUCUUUAUUUGAUGAAUAUAUUUUAGUACGAAAGGACCAAAUAUUAAAUAUAUUGAUAUUUAUUUUUUGAACAAUAUU